UGAAAGUUUUUAACACUAUUUGUGGAUAUACUAAGCUGAAUAAUUUAAGGUAAAUAAACUAGUAUUUCUCCAGACGACGUCUUUAAAAAUAAUGUGGCGUUUUAUGUCGUGUGUGGCGUAUACUAGACUCCACAGGCUGUCGUGAUAAAAUGAUGCAACAGCCACAGAGACGGAGAAUAGCCCCGCUGGUUGCCAUGGCUCCCAGCAGCAAUCCAUCUCAGUUCGUGUGCUUGUGUGGACUAAAGGGAAUAAAAAAAAAAAAAAACAAGUACUCUGAUGCAGGGGUGAGGAGCUUGCCCUCUUCUUAGGAAAGUUUUGGUCUCCAGCUGCUUUCUGACCGUUAUACCCCUCUCUCCUCUGGUAA